GAAGUUGCCUGAAUUUUGAAUAAUGAUGCAUCUAAUGUUGCAGGGGCCACAGACUGUUCUGAACCUGAGUUGUCUCCUGAUUGUCUGGUGCCACCUUGUUUCAACCUGCCAUUGCUUUUGAAUGAUUCAAUGAUAUCCUCCUUAUUUAUUUCAGUCUGAAUUUGUCUUCAAAUCGUGAUCAUCCUUUCUGAGCUUCUGCUUCCACAGAUCUGCACACAGGCUCUCUCACACAAGGAGGAAAGAAAAAUGCCAUGCACAAGAUCCCGCAUGAAGUUAACACUGGAAAAUGAGGAUUUGUUUUCCCUGCCUCCUGUCUGCUUCAGUUGUGAAUGAGACCAACACUGCACAAUUCUUCUUUAGUGUUCCAGGUAAAGCCUCAUGAAUAUAAGGGAGGCUGGUUUGGGAAAUUCUUGGGAUCCUAAUGUCAGCCAUGGUAUCAUCUCUCUUUCACUAGUGUUUGCUGGUAGCAUGUUCUCAAAGUCUUUUGUGUUCUGAAAGGAUCUUUUGUGUUCUGAUUUGGGAACUACCCUGUCAGCUCCUCUGCUUCACACAGUUUCUGAUCUUCUGCAGCUUCUCAAAUCAGGUGGCAAUAUUACAUUCAUAAGCAAAAUUUCUGAAACUCCACAACAGUAAAAAAUGUACAUCAUUGUAGGAUAGAGAAGCAGCUGUCAGGGAUCCAGGCUGAGAGGGUGUUUGUGGCUGUAACUUGCAAUAUUGGUAGAUAAAAUAUGGAGUCCAGUGGUGGAAAUUAUUCAAGUAAUUAACAAGCCAAAUGCGGACAAGAUCAAAAGAGACAAAGCCAAUAAAUCUCUAUUAAUAAAGUGCAGCCUGUUUUAUUGAUCACAAACCUUUGUUUUUCCCACCUCUCUGCUUGGUGGGAACUUUACCAGUGGCAGGUCCUGCUGUAUCUUCAUAAGGUGUUGCUGUUUAUACUUUGAAAACUGAAAUUAAUUGAUUCACUCCCAGUUACUGGGGUAGCCGUUUAAAAGCUUUGACUCAAACAAAAGUGCUUCAAUAAAAAGCGAAU